CCUACGGGAGGCAGCAGUAAGGAAUAUUGGUCAAUGGACGCAAGUCUGAACCAGCCAUGCCGCGUGCAGGAUGACGGCCCUCUGGGUUGUAAACUGCUUUUAUAGGGGACGAAAAAAGGGCUUUCUAGCUCGUCUGACGGUACCCUAGGAAUAAGCACCGGCUAACUCCGUGCCAGCAGCCGCGGUAAUACGGAGGGUGCAAGCGUUAUCCGGAUUUACUGGGUUUAAAGGGUGCGUAGGUGGGUCGGUAAGUCAGCGGUGAAAUCUUCGAGCUUAACUCGGAAACUGCCAUUGAUACUAUCGAUCUUGAAUCAUCUGGAGGUAAGCGGAAUAUGUCAUGUAGCGGUGAAAUGCUUAGAUAUGACAUAGAACACCAAUUGCGAAGGCAGCUUACUACGGAUGCAUUGACACUGAGGCACGAAAGCGUAGGGGAUCAAACAGGAUUAGAUACCCUGGUAGUCCACGCCCUAAACGAUGGAUACUCGACAUUUGAGAUAUACUUUAAAGUGUUCUGAGCGAAAGCAUUAAGUAUCCCACCUGGGAAGUACGAUCGCAAAGAUAGAAACGUACAAAGAAAGUUAGACGGACGUGAGAGUACGACCGACGGACGACGACGAGGGGAGGUUAGGAG
rnacentral:rRNA from 1 species